rnacentral:lncRNA from 10 species
CACCAUAUAACCUCACAGUUAGAACCAUUACAUUCCCAUGGCGCGUCCUAGGCACAGUCUCUCUAGCCUUAGAAAGCUAACGUCAUCUUAACCUUGCAGCCACAGCCAGCAGCUGUGAAGACCGGGGCCAGAGGAAGCUGAAGUGUGGUGAGCGGGUUGCUAUGGCAUGAGCAUGCACAGAGGUAUCCACACACCACACACAUACAUGCACACGUGUGAGUGCACACAUGUGCCCACAAACGACAGAGGCACCGUCCAGCGUAUCCUGCCGCCGCCUGACCCAGAAACUCCAUGAUUUUAUGUCCUUUAUCAAGCAGACAGAAUUCUCCAUGGUUGCUGUUGUUUAAAAGCUAUGGCUCCUGAUUAAAAAGUCAUGAGCAUGCCGUUAGCAGAGCUGAGCCCUCAGUUUAGGGAGCUGAGGAUCGAGCAUCUGAUGUCCUUGCAGGAGGCAGGGCGUUCCCCAGAUCCGAGGGGUUCAGAUGCAGGACGGCCCAGCAGAGCAAGAGGAUGUGUGCCCCACGGCACACAGGAGGCAGGGGGUUCCCCAGAUCCGAGGGGUUCAGACGCUGGACGGCCCAGCAGAGAGGAUGUGUGCCCCACGGCACACAGGAGGCAGGGGGUUCCCCAGAUCCGAGGGGUUCAGACGCUGGACGGCCCAGCAGAGCCAGACAACAUGUGCCCCACGGCACACCGAAGUGAACCACAGAGCAAUGACUCUGAGACAGAACUAUGAGGAAGAGGCAGAAGCUUUCUAACUCAGUCUCUCCUGGAAUCCAACUUAAGAAGAGCCCUGCCCGGCCUGCACUCACCGUCAGCGCACUCCCACGCGUGCACACAGGGGUAGACAGUCACGGCUUCUGCACUGGAUAACUGACGCCUUGCAGAGAAGUGACUGAGCUCACAGACCCACUUGGAGACAUUAAACGUUGGCUUGGGCAGAGAAUGGAUCAGGAGCUCCUGACCACCCCAGUUCGAUUCUCCAAACCUGAGAGUAGGCAUUUGUGCUGACUGGCAGUACCCAGAGGGCCGACAUCUGUUGCCUGCAAGGAUUGACUAGGAAGCUGGACAGCUUUCAAGUACAUCUAACAGUCAUGGCAAGUCUAAUGCUGGUAAAUGGUGCAGAAUCAAUCAUGCAGUCCAGUUUUGAUACAGUUCUAAAACCUCAUAUUCCUGACUAAGGAAGCCAGAGGUAAAGGGACAAUGGUCUCUUUCUUCCCCUGAAGUUAUUUCUGUUAGCUGGUAAACCAGAGACCACAUGAGAAAGAGAAGAAACAGGUUUUCUCGGAGGUCUUUCCGGUGUGCAAGGCCUGCCUAGACAAAAUAUGGUUCAAACUCCGCCAAAAAUGUUCAUAGAAGACACAUUUGAGAUCAUUUGUUUUCUUCCUGCCUUUCUGGGAAAAAAAGAAUUGCUUUGUUUUGUGAAUAUAUGUACACAUCAGGUAUAAAAAAACACGUAGGCUUUGGUUUGUAUUCAAAGACUUCCAGUGAAACUGCGAUAGUCCAAAUUGCACCGUGUUGUUUUUCAAGGAAACACUCAGUACAGCCACGCAGCCUGUGCAGGGCGACAUCGUAGGGGCCUGGGGUGGGAAAGGGCAACACCACCGCACACCCCCACCCCACUGGUGUCUCUGUCCCUCCCACGGGCCCUGCCCGCCUGACUCAGACAAGGGCCAGCCUCAGUUCUGGCUGGAAAGAAGUCAGCCGUUCCCUCCCCAUGUCUCCAGGUGCCUUCUCAGUCCUCCUGCACAACUUCGUUCUGUCUUUUCUCUCUUCUGUGCUGAUCUGUUUCCCGUUGUUCUAAUCGCUCCCCUUUUCUCUUCCCCAGGGCUCUGGCUCUCCAGGUCCCCCUCCGGCCUCUGUUACUCUCAUUUGUCUCCCUUGCCUGCACUCGCUGGAUUCUCACAAUUCAUCCCACACGGAGCACCUGAUGGCCUUCCUGCCAGCGUCAGGGAGCAGGGCAGGGGCGUGAAACCCUGGGAAAGUGAAUGGAAGCUCCCGGGGGGCUGCCCAACAUGCGCCUUUGCAGAUCUUCAAAGACGCUCGCCAGUGAUGCCAGGACGAAACACUUUGCAAACUUCUCUUCUAAGAACAAACCUUCACCAGACAUUAUCUUUAGUUAAAAAGCCAGUAUUUUAACUUUUUCUACCUAUUGAUUUUCUAUCUAUCGAUAGCUUCUUAUCAGGACAGUGUCCUGAGCAGUACAGGAAAAUAUGUACUUAUACAGGAUAUUAUAGAAUUUUCUGAGAAAUAGGAAAAUCUAUUUAUUGGCGAAAGCUGCUGUGUGAGUUUCCUGGGGCUGCUGUCACGAACACAGACUCAGAGGCUGAACACAGGUUUGUUAUUUCACAGUCUGUGGGUUAGAGUCCGACGCGGUGUCC